CAUAGGAGAGCAUCAUUCUUUUGAGAUUGAUAACUCAAACCAACUUUGGAGGUGUCUGAUUUGGAGAGACAUCAUUCUUGGUCUUUUCUUAAAGGAAUAGUUCACACA